GUCUUUUAGUUAAUUAUUUAAGGUUUGACCUGCUCCAUGAUUAAAUUAAAUAGCCGCAGUAUUUUGACUGUGCAAAGGUAGCAUAAUCAUUAGUUUUUUAAUUGAAAGCUGGAAUGAAUGGUCGGAUGAGAAAGUUUCUGUCUCACUUUAAUUUCAUUUGAAUUUUAUUUUUGGGUCAAAAAGCUCAAAUUUUAUAAAAAGACGAGAAGACCCUAUAGAGUUUAAUAUAUUUAAAGUUUAGUUUAAUUUAGGGUUUUAAAUUGACUAUAUUUUGGUUUAUUUUGUUGGGGUGACAUAAGAAUUAGUUUAACUUCUUGAAGUGUAAACAUUGAUUAAUGAAUAAUUGAUCCUGAUUUUUGGAUUUAAAGAAUAAAUUACCUUAGGGAUAACAGCGUAAUUCUUUUAGAGAGUUCUUAUCGAUAAAAGGGAUUGCGACCUCGAUGUUGGAUUAAAGUUAAUCUUUGGCGCAGAAGCUAGGGUUUUAAGUCUGUUCGACUUUUAAAAUUUUACAUGAUCUGAGUUUAAACCGGCGUGAGCCAGGUUGGUUUCUAUCUUUUAUAGUUAAAAUGUUUUAGUACGAAAGGACCAGACAUUUAAAUAAUAUUUAAUUUGAGAAUAGUAUUGUUAUUUUGGCAGAUUAGUGCAAUAGAUUUAGAAUCUUUAAAUGUAAUUUUAUUACAUAUAACAAUUUUUUUUUAUGAUUUAUGUUUGUUGUUUAUUUCAAUGUUAGUUUUGGUGUUAUGCGUUUUAGUGGGAGUUGCUUUUUUGACUUUAUUAGAACGUAAGGUGUU
rnacentral:rRNA from 1 species